UGACUGACCGAUAGUGAACCAGUACCGUGAGGGAAAGGCGAAAAGAACCCCGGCGAGGGGAGUGAAAAAGAACCUGAAACCGUGUACGUACAAGCAGUGGGAGCCCCACCACUAAGCCAGUGGUGAGUCCACGUCAGCAUCCUUUGCCGAAGGUAAGGUUAACGGAGCGCAAGCGACGUUCAACCUCAAAAGAAGCAGAGGGGGCUUAGUGGUGGGGUGACUGCGUACCUUUUGUAUAAUGGGUCAGCGACUUAUAUUCUGUAGCAAGGUUAACCGAAUAGGGGAGCCGAAGGGAAACCGAGUCUUAACUGGGCGUUAAGUUGCAGGGUAUAGACCCGAAACC
rnacentral:rRNA from 1 species